ACAUGCAUGCAUACUGGAAGUGACUUCUUUUUUCCUUGGAAUUAUGUCUAUCAGUGAAACCUUGUCAGAGCUUGAUGAGAUAAUUUAAGGACUGGAAGAAGUACAGAUGAAUCACUGCAGUGCUAUGCUUGUCCUAAAUGUACCUGCUGAGAAGAAUUACCUCCAGUAAAUACCAUUUAAGAAGUAAACUUUCCGAAUGUAUCCCUGAGAAUCAGAGGUCAAUUAAAUAACCUACAAACCAGCAGGAAAAUUCCAUUCCCUGUUCAAGAAGUGGAUGAACAUGUGGUGGACGUCUGGAUGGCUUGAGACUGGUAAAGGAGAUCCUGAUCUGGCAUAAAAGAAGACUGAGAAGUAUCCCUGAUUUCUACAGCAUCAGAACAUGUCGCAGUGGGGAUCUGCUAUAAAUGGAGAUUAGCUAUAAAUUGAGAAAGAAACAUGUAGACUCAGAAUAUUUAUUUUUACAGCUGUCCAAAUAAUGACAACAUUUCUUGUGCAAAUGCUAAGACACUAACUGUAAUGUUGUGUCCAAGUUUAAGCUCUGCACUUAGACAAAAGAUAAUGGACCAUUUCAAAAUAUCCAGAGUGCAAUGAAAAUGUUGUAAGAUUCUGGAAGUAUGAUCAGUAAGAAAGGGCUGAAAAUGUGUCUGAUAAAUACACUAUGAAGUCAUUGGGAUUCUUUAAUAAAAAACAAAACAAAACAAACUGAUAAGGAACAUAAUAGUGAUCAUCAAACAUAAAAAGUUGUCCAAAAAAAUAAAUGAAUAGUUUUUCCUUCAUGUCCACUGUGGAUAGUACAAAAAGCAAUGGCCUUUUUAAUAGUGGCAAGAGAAAUUUAACUUGGAUGUUAAAAAAAAAAAAGGAAUAAAUAAAUAAAAAAAAUCCACUUUCCAACAGUAAGGAUAAUUAGGUACUGGAAUAGAUUGCCUGGUGAGGCUACAGAAGCUCUAUCAUCAUUAAAGCCUUUAAAGAGCAGGCUGGACAAACACUCAUUUGGAAUAAUAAAGAUCUACUUGAUCUAUGGUGGGCAAAAGAUGAACAAUGUGAUUGACUGAAAGCCUGUAUAGAUCUGUUUUCUCCUCUUCAGUGAUAAUUGCUUAGCACUAUGGGGAAUAACAUAUGUUCAUCAAAUACAAACCAGAAACACCUGAGAGCAGCAAAAAAAAAAAAAAAUCAUUUUAUUUUUGCAUGGAAAAUAUGAAAAUAAAUCAAAUAAUCUGGAAGACCAGUCACUUCUGAAUAACAAGUUCUCUAAAUUAAAACUUAAAGAGUUCUUACACUGUGAUUACAAAUCCAUGGAAAGAUUGUGUUUGAAAAAUAAACAAACAAUUGCAAGGUUAGGAAAAAUCCUAUCAAUUCCCUGCUAACCUUUUUUAACAUACCAUUUUAUUUGACAAUAAUAACAGGAAACAAGCAGAUUAGAGUAUCUGUUCAUGCUCAGAACUGUAGAGGCAGAAAAAAGUCUCCUCCUUCCUAUAAUACAUCAUUUGCAUUAUUCUGGAUUUCCAGAGCUAUAGACUCUAGAGAUCAGACUUCAUAUCCUGAUCCUUUAUUCACACUGUAGCCAAGUUCAAUUAAAUAUUUUUCAAGAGGUUCCUCAGUACAUCAACCCAGGAGCAGGAAACAGCUUUGUAGCUGAGUGACUUACAUGGAAGGGGAAAUAGACAAUGAUGCAUAAUUAUUUCUUUGGUCUUACCCAGGAAACUAUCUCACCACUCUUGAAGUACAAGCUUGCUGUAAUCAUUAGGGCAUAGUUAAUAAAAACAGCUCAUUAUUGUCUUGGAGAUCCUAUCUUCUAAUGAUGCCCUUUGGACUGAAAUAUAUGCAAACGAAGAUUAGUUACUUUAGAACCUUAACUAUAUGCACUUGUAAAUAUGAAAAAUUAAUUGCUAAGUGUAAUAUUUAUCACGAGGAGCUCUAGAUAUCCUGUUUAACCUAACGAGCAAAUAAUAAAAUAUGCUUUUUGAAGUAGACACUUAUUUAACAAUGCUUCUGUCCCAAGUUUUCAGAAACCUGUGUAAAUAUGCACCAGACCAAAUAUGCACAGAUUUAUCCCCUUAUCCUGGUGUGCAUAAUGUUAACAUGCUUUACACUUUGAUAAUGGUCCAGAAUUUCUUGGCUUCUGUAAGAGAAUUUGCACAUCAAUUCAGAAGGAAGUAAAUUACUGGAGAAAAUGUAUGGUGUAACAAAACUGCUGUCUGACAGCAUGAGAACAAUGAAGUGCUUUCAUAAGUAAAUGGUGCAUAUCUCAUGAUAUGUUCUCGGGAGGGGAUCAGCUGAGGCAGACCCAUACAGAAAAAAUGUUACAGUCAGAAAUAUCAUCCUGCCCAUAUAGAGCAGAAAUUGAGCUAUUGGAAUAAUUGAUCUUUCAGUGAUUUUUUAGUUCUGAUAAAUACAUGAAGAAAUAUAAAAAAAUGGUUUGGAUGGAUCUUUUUUUUUUUUUUAUGCAUAAGAAUACUAGAUGAACUGAGAUGCUUCUAAAGAAAAGUAACCUAUGUUUUGAUUUUAAGAUACAUGCUUUUAUAAAAUAGAAAAGUCUCUUGACAUACGAGACAUACGAAGCCAUUUUAAUACUGAAAGAUCCCAAAGUUUAAGUCCUAGAGUAAUGAAAGCUGGAAUGUUCUGAUGUUUCAGAACUUCUUUUUCUUUUGUUUUAAAAGUAAAAAUCAACAUAAAAUGAGAAAUGAGAAAAUUAGAUGGCAGUAGUUUUUCUGCUGCUUCCUCAGUGUGGUCUUGUCUUUUGCUCCUGACCCUGAGCACAGAACACAAAUAGGAAAGGACGUGAAAGGGUUAUACUAUCACAACAAAGUUUUGUUGGCAAAUGUUAAUAUAUUUUAUUAAAUCAGUUGACAUAACUGGGUGGAAAAAGAACACAGACAAGAUUUCAAACAUAUAAACUGUUCUUCAGAUCAGAAACAGAAUUGGCCAGAGUUAUAAAUUGCAAUUACUGAUUAUUACCUGCUAAUAAUAUAUGUUGCUUUCCCUUCAAAAUUUUCCUUGCUUAUGUCUUUAUUAUCAGAACUACAGUGUGACAUAAUAUUUCCAGUUGCUUUUCACAGAAAACACCGGCGUUCUGGGGAUUUUCUAUUUCAAUAGAAAUAGAAAUUCUGGGAAAGACUCAUACUUAUUUUAACAAUCUUUGAAAAUAAAUGAUAUUAAAAAUCAGAUGGUUUCAUUUAACUGCCUGUGUUUGAUCUUUAGGGAGAAGACAGCCAAACCUUCUCUUUCUUUCCUUUCUCCUAUUUAUUUUUUCCUUUGGGAGCUUCAGUUUUUCUUGGCUUUCCUCUUGAAUCCUUGAGCUUCUGUCACCAUCUCAACAAUUACAAUUCUCUCUGUGCUUUUGCUUAUCUUGCACUACUUGAGUUCAUGGACUUUCUCAGACUUUAACAAUUUUCUCUGUGAAACAUCCAGGGUAACACAGCUGUGCUGAACCAAAUUAAGCCUUGGGUUACCAAAAGCUGGUCCACAGGGCUGAAGGUUGCAAGAUGACAAUGUGUCCACCUUGCAGUGAAAUAUAUUCCUUGGCUGUGUGCACUGUUCUGAAUUCAAUAAAUAAGAAGGUUUUAA